UUCUAGAAACAUUCUCUUUACCAUAAAUAUCCCCCCAUUCCACCAACAUUCUUCCCCUUUUGAAAACCCUAAAAACAUUCCAAUAUCCUUCCUUUCUCUCGGGAUUUUGACGGCAACACUAUCAUCUUGAAGACCGCCGGGGUCCACCAUUUGGGAAGCUUUAUUUCUCUAUUUUCUUACACACUCUUGUAUCCUACAUCAUCCGGUACUCAGUAACAGCUCGGGGGCUUGCAGCGGGGAGUAUAGUGGUCGCGUUGACCCUUGUUGGGUUUUCUAAAUAACUAUGGACUUUUAACUGUUGUUUCGAAUUGUUAAACUUAUGCUUCCGCUGUUGACUUUAAUUAUUGCUUUUAAACUAUGAACUUUAGACUUUAGUCACUGAUAGUAUUUAUUGUGAUGAAAAUUGUUAUAUUAUUAUAUUGUUCAAUAUGAUUGGUGGCUUGAUCCUGGUCAGUCACACGCCUCGCGGUAGUACUCUGCACGUGGAAAUUGAGGGUCUGACAAACCUAGUAUAUAUAGUUUACGAAGGCUCAUGAAUAGUUAAUUUAAAUUUAUAAUAAUAAUUAUAGCUACUUAUAAUUUGCAACAAGUUUAUGCAAUGGGUAGUCGUAACUCUAGCUUUAUUUGUUGUAUGUGCAUAGAUAAGGUGUACAUUUCCUUACUAAAGCUUCUUUUGGAAGCUUUAUAUAUUUCAUAUAAACAGAAGAUAAAGAAGAGAGAGACAUGAGAUAGAGAUAGAGAUGCGGAUUCGUUUGAGAGACAGAAACGAUGGAAGGACCAUUGUUUACCGUGGUUUACCAGGCGGCGCUUUCACUUACUACGCUACAUGACUGAGACACAAACAAUCAUCGAUGAGGAGUGUAUUCCGAUGAAGUAUGACAAGACUCCAGUGAAGAUCCGAUUCUGCUUCCCUGUGGUCGCCGGAAUAACGGGUUUAGGGGGAUCACUGACAAGAGAUCAAAAGAGGAUAAGCGUAGGUGAUUGCAUACUGAAACGACAUUGUUCAGGCAUUAAUCAACGGCUUACUAUCGUUAACAAGGCAGUCAUUGCAACAGAGACGUUUAAAAAGGCACGGGUUUAUGAGUCAUGCAGAGCUGCUGAACCAUCCACAAGACACAUGGAAACCGGAUAUGUCACAGCAGCCACUGGUGCAAACAUUUGUGAUCUCCACCGUGUAAGUAGGGAUGCCAUUCGGCAGAAGAGAAGUAGGACCCUGGUUGAUCACAAGGGUAGGUGUUUGAACAUUUAUCCUCCCAAAUUCGGUUUGGCUUCACCAUCACCUGUCCAGCUGCUGCUGCAUAAAGUGCAUAAAUGACAACAAAUAUUUAGCAUGUGAAAGGGAAUGCAACAGGGUGAGGACUACCGCCUACCGGUUGGUUAAGUUAAAGAUAAUCAACUUCAAUGUUUGUCUUCUGAUGUUACUUUCUACUUCUGGUUAGAUGUUUAGCUUUUAAAAGUUGCUUUUACAUGUUGUAAAGCAAGAAAGAACAAGCUGUGGUGGUUUAAAGACGCGGUCCUGAUGCUACGUGGUGAUGUAACAUUGAUCAUGCUCAUAGGUAAUGAAUCUUUCUGAUUACGUGUAUACUUUGUUUUAGAAUUUGAAUAUAUGAGGGUUUUGGUGUUAUUGUGUUAUUGUGUAAUGUCUCUUUUCAAUUUACAUGGUUUGUUUCCACGAAAAAGGGGGAAGGAUGUUGUUAAUUUGGUUGACCAGAAGCACCAGAAGAAGAACGAGGUUGUGAUUUCUUCGAUGUGUGAAACAUAAAAAGUAGAUGAGGCAACAGAAGAGCAUGUUAGGCGGUUUAUGCCUAAAUUAACCGGUUUGGAUGUUGUUGUUAAUAUUGGGAAGACGAGCAACACUGGCUUGGACUUUAAAGCAGAAGUGGGACCAACAGAUCAAACUUCCCAAACGUAGGACCCAAAUAACAUUUUCAAACUAACGUCUGGUUAUGGCUUUAAUCAUGUGAGAAUCUUAAAAUUGUUAAUAAACUCAAUUGCAUGUUACUGGUUACUAGCAUAACUGAGAUACCACCUGUCCACCUGAUUGAAAGGUAAUUAUAUUGAAUCGUGUUUUAUGCUUUUAGUUUAUGUUAUUUGUUGUCGUUUUAAGAUUUGUCGAUGCAAAAGAAUUAGCUUUUAUAAACCUACAGCUAACGUUUGUGACAUGAUUUGUAAUAUUCUGGAUUAAAGAAUGUUGUUACUCUAGGUUAAGGUUGACUUGGGUGAGGUAAUGUUGGUAGUUUCUCAGGUAAAACAAGAACGUGCCAUGUGAAGAAGGUUACUGGAUUAUGCUUGAAAUAACUUGAAAAUAUGUCUUUUACUGUUAGUUUUAUUACUUUUCUUUUUCUUAGUUUAUUAGCCUUGGAUAUGUAGAAGGAUGUUAUUGGUAAAUCAUUAGCAGACAAAGUAUAACUGUGUAUUCCAUUCGAUAGCUAUAUCCAUGUGUUGAACAAAAUUGAAAACUAAGUGAGGUUGUUAGGUUU